AUAUUUGUGGAUGGGCGAGCAAUCGGUGAACGAGAGAAGUGGAUGGAUACAGGCCUUUGAAAGUACUAUCAGCAGUUGAUAAGCAGAGAGGGAAAGGCUCUCGGAAACCGGGGGAACCACGUGAGCAGAAGCAGAGGGGCGGAGGCCGGCUUGGUCUGCCGGGCUGUUGGGGAUCUGGGACCAGGAUCCCUGAGAGGAGGUGAGAGGAGGGGCAUUGGAGACAGUUGAGGGAAGGCCUGCCAUGCUGGGCUUAAAAAGAUUGGGAAACUGAGUCACAGGGAUGCUGAGUGCUAUGAUAUCGCUCCUCUUUUUUAAGUUGAGUCCUUAGAACUGGCUCUAGUUUCUCUACUGGCUAUUAGGAGCCUGUACAAAUACUUGUGUAACUGAUCCUUCUGGAAACGUGAAAAAAAAGGAUUAUCCUCUCAAAGGAGAACUCCCAGGGAAGGAAGUGCAUUAACUCAAAGUUUACACCAGCCAAGGUAACCAACCGCCCACCAGCCCUCCCCUCCCGCCCCCCCCCCCCUCCCCGCCCCAGCCCGCCGGCCCGCCGCGGUCACCCCCGGCUCCAGCCCAGAAGCCCCCAUUUUCCGAAAACCACAACAAAGCGGCAGGAGGACUUCUGCUCCUUCCUGCUCCUCCGGCCUUUGCUUCUUGCCUGGUGGUUUCGCCG
rnacentral:lncRNA from 12 species